GGCCAUUAUAACAAUAGACCGAA
rnacentral:siRNA from 1 species